AAACGCCCGGGAAUUACGAGCGCAAGCUUAAAACCCAAAGGACUUGACGGUGUCCCACCCACCUAGAGGAGCCUGUUCUAUAAUCGAUGAUCCACGAUAUACCUCACCAUUUUUUGCCUUCCCCAGCCUGUAUACCUCCGUCGACAGCUUACCAUUUGAAUGCCACAAAGUAGGUUCAAUGGGCCAUACACGCCAAUACGUCAGGUCAAGGUGCAGCCUAUAAAAUGGAAAGCAAUGGGCUACAAUUUCUAACACAGAACAAACGAAAGACUACUUGAAAUAGUAUCAUGAAGGUGGAUUUAGUAGUAAAAGAAGAACAGUAAGCUUCUUUUAACAAGGCCCUGGGACGUGUACAAACCGCCCGUCAUCCUCUUCAACAACAACCAUUAAGUUUUUAACAUCUAAUCAACCCAUAGAAGAGGCAAGUCGAAACAUGGUAAGUGUACUGGAAAGUGUACUUGGUUAAACAAAGUGUAGCUUAACUAAAGCUUUUCGCUUACACCGGAAAAACGUCUGUUAAACUCAGACCACUUUGAGCCUUAAGUCUAGCCCAUAUUCUUCCUAUGACUCCCCCCCCAAAAAAAUUAAAAUACAAAACAUUUUUAAAGUCAAGUAAAGGAGAU
rnacentral:rRNA from 1 species